rnacentral:rRNA from 1 species
GACGAACGCUGGCGGCGUGGAUUAGGCAUGCAAGUCGAACGGUAGGAUACCUUCGGGUAUCUGAGAGUGGCGAACGGGUGAGUAACACGUAGGUGAUCUACCCUCAAGAUUGGGACAACCCAGGGAAACUUGGGCUAAUACCGGAUGAAAGCAGCAGUGAUGUUGUUUGAAAGGUGGCGUAAGCUGCCGUUUGGGGAUGAGCCUGCGCUCUAUUAGUUAGUUGGCGGGGUAAAGGCCCACCAAGGCGAUGAUAGAUAGGCGGCCUUAACGGGUGGUCGCCCACACUGGGAUUGAGAUACGGCCCAGACUCCUACGGGAGGCAGCAGUCGAGAAUAGUCUACAAUGGCCGAAAGGCUGAUAGUGCGACGCCGCGUGAACGAAGAAGCCCUUCGGGGUGUAAAGUUCUUUUAUACGUGAGCAGUGCCCUUUAUAUGAAUAGUAUAGAGGGAGGGAUUUAAGCGUAUGAAUAAGCAACGGCUAACUCCGUG